GUCAAGAUGGAGGCAGUGGGUUACCAGGUGUGGCUCCUUACUGUCCCCUCUGCUUCCUGGUUGUCGAGAGGUGAGCAGCUUCCUCUGCCAAGCUCUUCCUCUAUGCUGUCUCUGCCUUGCUCUGUGCCUAAGAACAAUGGAGUCAGCCAGCCACAGACUAAAACCUCAGAGCUAAGGAAGACACUAUGUCAUGAUUUUCAGUUACCUGGUGCCGGGCUCGACUCUGGUCCAGAAGUUGCCGGGACUGAAGUUUUUGUUGCUCGAGUUGCUGGAGAGCAAAGUGGAGCUGGUAGCUGCCUGCUGUGGGGUGGUACUUGUGCUGGGGGACCACCCCUGUAGUCUUGCUGUAUGCGUUGUUCUCUACCUCGCCCUCCCAGGCAAAGCCACCUGUCUGGAGGCUCCUGCAGAGAGAAAGAAUGCAUGUUUCCACAUGAGGAUGUGAACAAUCUAGAACCAGAUACAGGUACGGGUGGUUUUUCUUCAUGUCUGUCUGUCUGUCCAUCGUAUGUGCCUGGUGUCCUUUGCCCUUGGAAGCCCUGAAGCUGGAGUUACAGACGGUUGUGAGCUGCCAGUGUUCUUGACUGCUGAGCCACCUCUCCAGCCCAUGACAAAGAAUUUCUACUGUUAAUAUACAAAGUCUGCAUUGUUAACUGACCCUAACAACAGAAUGAAAACAACUAAAAAUGUGAUUUGAAAAGAUAUUUUAUGAGUGAAAAAAUAUGAAUGUCCAAUAAGCAUACAAGUUCUCAGUAUCAGUCGUCAUCAGAGAAAUUCAAAUGACAUUUUAUAGUAUUAUAAUGAUUACAAUUGCAGCUGGGUGUAGUGCCAGAUGUCUGUAAUCCCAGCACUUGAGAAGCAGAAGCAGGAGGGAUCAAGAAUUCAAAGCCACCCUGAGCUAUGAGAGACACGUUCUCAAUAAACCAAUAAACAAGACAAACCAGGGACAGGGGCUUGUUUGGUCAAGCACAGCAUCAAGUACUGGUGAUUAUGUAGAUCGACUUGUUCACUGACAACAGGAUAAAGCAACGCAACAGGAUACUGUCGGGUCUGUGUGAAAGCAAAUGUGUUUACGCAAAUGAAUUAACUGCUUAAAUAAAAGCACAUGGCUACCAACAAUGUUGCAGAAAAUUUUCACUGAAAUAUUUAUAACUAUCAAGAAUUGGAGUCAUCAUUAGGAAAUUAGAUUAAUAAUAAAAUAUGUAUCCAUCUAC